UUUUCUAUUGUUAAAUUUGCACGCAGUGCAAUCUAGCGGGGUUAAGCGCUGUCUGUAAUUUACACACGGUGCUUGAAGAUCAGUUGCAAGCCAUGUCUGAGUGACAUUGAAACACUGGGCUGUGAGCUGCCGAGAAUUAUUU
rnacentral:misc_RNA from 1 species